GGCGCUAUAGCCAAGUGGUAAGGCAAAGGUCUGCAAAACCUUCAUUCCCCGGUUCGAGUCCGGGUGGCGCCUCCA
rnacentral:tRNA from 2 species